CCUCAACGGUUAAUUGGGACUAAGUCGUAACAAGGUAACCGUAGGUGAACCUGCAGAAGGAUCA
rnacentral:rRNA from 1 species